CCUACGGGUGGCAGCAGUGAGGAAUAUUGGUCAAUGGCCGGAAGGCUGAACCAGCCAAGCCGCGUGAAGGACGAAGGUGCCAAGCAUUGUAAACUUCUUUUGUCAAGGGACAAAAUCAGGCUCGAGAGCCUGACCGAGGGUACUUGAAGAAAAAGCAUCGGCUAACUCCGUGCCAGCAGCCGCGGUAAUACGGAGGAUGCGAGCGUUAUCCGGAUUUAUUGGGUUUAAAGGGUGCGUAGUCGGGCUGUUAAGUCAGCGGUAAAAGCCCGGGGCUCAACCCCGGCGAGCCGUUGAAACUGGCUGUCUUGAGUGGACGUGAGGUAGGCGGAAUGCGUGGUGUAGCGGUGAAAUGCUUAGAGAUUGCGCAGAACUCCGAUUGCGAAGGCAGCAUACCGGCGGCGCUCUGACGCUGAGGCACGAAAGUGUGGGUAUCGAACAGGAUUAGAUACCCGAGUAGUC
rnacentral:rRNA from 1 species